GGCGGGCACUUUGAGACACCAGCACAGGUACAGGCAGGAGUCAGGUGUAAAGGGAAAAUAGGAAAAUAGGAAAAAGUCCCAUGUGAUUAGAUUAUAAACCACACAAAGGGGUUGUUCUGGAUAGAGAUGAUAUUUGAAAGACAGGUUGAUGCCAGAUGGUGAAGGAUCCUGUAACCUCCAAGCCAUGAGAUCGUAGGUGAGUUACUUCACCCUUCUGAGUGUUAGUCUUCUGAUCUGGGAAGUGGGGCUAAAAUGCCCUUCCUGAUUGCCUGCAUGCUAAAAGCACCUAGUGAGUGCUUGGGGACAGUGAAUGCUGCUCCCUGUUUUGCAGGACCUGGCAGGCAGGCUGGCUGGUGAGUGAGGGGAAGGAGGAGGGGUGGGGACGCAGGGCUGGAGGGCUGGCACUGCAUCAGCACCUCCCGCAGCCCCAGGUUCUUCCAAUCCCAACAACCCCUUCAGCAUCUGAGAGAUCAGCUUCAGGCCCAUUUGGUGUUAAUUACAGCAACCCAGGCUUCUCUGUGUGAAGGAAACAGGCCCUCAUUUCUCUCAUUAAAGUAAAAUAUGACCCAUUUUUAUGCCUGCGUAUUUUGUUGCCGAGAUUACGAGAGUCAUCUUUUCUGUUUAUACGGAACAGAGAAACGUUACACCAGGCAGGCGGCCUGGGCCCCAGAGUCUGGGGAAUAGAAAGCAGAUGUCGUCCUCAGUGUUAUUUGCCCCCAGCUUCCAUCUCCUCCUCCCUGCUCUUCUCCCUCUCAGAAGCAUAAUCCUCCUUUCAGAUCCGCACGAGGUGUGGUUACAGCCCUUGGUGCAUGGCCUGGCCAGUCUUCUGAGCUCUGCCAUGUAUUGUCCUAGGAGGGCCUCCCCACAGCUGAAGGUGACUGGGGCCUGAGGGUUUCGGGGAUUCCUCUGAGGCCAGUUAAAAUGGUUCAAGAGAAAGGUUGCCAAGUCGGUGGAGCAACACCAACCAUCUCCUCUUGGCCUUCAGCUCUUGGAAUGUGGCUCUACCUGCAGAGCUGCCGCGCUCCAGAGGCCUACAGCUUCGGAGGUAUUAGAACUGUAGAGACCUAUGCUUCUGGGACAGGGCUGAGUCCUGCAUACCCACAUGGAUGAGCUGUAAGCAGCUCAAACCUUGAGACUGGAUCUGAUGAUCACUCAAAGCCAGUGACUGGCACAGAGACUGGCAUGCGACAGGUACUUAAGAAUGAAAGAAUCAUGAGUAAAACAGACAUAGGCCUUGGCUUCCAGGUCCCCCAUGAGGUCUCCCCAGGUAUCUGUUCUUCCUUUAGUCACAGUGCUGCCUUGAUUUCACAACUGGUCUCCCCUCAUGUGAUUGUGAGCGCUAGGGCCAGCCUCAUGCCUGUCUCAGUAUCUCUAGUACCUAGCAGUGUCUACUAGUACAUCGGAGGUACUCAAAACACAAUGAAAGGAUGAAUGAAUGACUGCCUCCUAUGUUGUAUUCAUCAGUGGUUGCAAGCUGGAGGAGCAAAGCCAGGUACUAGAGCACCCUGUUGUGGCCUCUGCCUCAGCCAUGCUCCUCCCUGGAGCAUAUGGCUUGCUACAUAAAUCCAAGCUGCAGGAGGACGGUGUUGGCGGCAGAGCAAGUUGGGUGCCAUUUGCAGACCUUUCCACAGACAUCAGCUGCUGAUGCAUCCUGCAGUAGAUGGCCCAGCUCUUCAGGAGACAGAACAGAAAUAUAUUAGCCUAGAAUUAUCAUUGUUUUCUCACUCAGCUCACUGUCUUUGCCCAGAAUUAGUUCAUCCCUUAAGCGGCCAAUUGAGUUCCCUCCUCAUUGGAGGAGGGACAGAUUAGCAGGGGCCCAUUCAAGGUUAAGUGGAGCAGAAUGUUUUCUAAAGAUUCUAUCCAAUA
rnacentral:lncRNA from 12 species